AAGGGAGACCUAAUUCCGGUAGGAGACGAAAAAAAAGUAGUCCCAACCAAGAAUCAAUCCCAAAAGGUCGGAACGAGGUAUGAGGCUUUCAAACUAGGUUCUGGGUUCAUAAAAGACCUGAAUCAGGAACAAGGGCUAUUAGCUCAGGUGGUUAGAGCGCACCCCUGAUAAGGGUGAGGUCCCUGGUUCGAGUCCAGGAUGGCCCACCUGCACAGGUGGCAAAAACAAGAGAAGCUCCGAAUCAGCACCUUAUCUUAUAUACAUAUAUAAGAGAGAAUGCUGGCUCUGAGUACAGAGUCCAGAGGAAUCUUGAAAACUGCAUAGAGCUAGGUGAAAAAGCCAAAAAAGAAGACCGCAA
rnacentral:tRNA from 1 species